rnacentral:lncRNA from 10 species
CAAAAGACCAUGUAGCUUCAGAAAGAGAAAGAUAUCCAUUUUUCUAGAUCCGAAGACUUUCUUAUACUCAGGUUCAAUCUGCACAAAGCUCACCUCUACUUUCUGUCUUGGAUUUCUCUGCUUUGAGCAACACUUAUCUUCCCUUUCUGUUGAGCUAUUUUCAGUGUAUUUUUGUACCUUGCAAGUAAUGACUAAAUGGGGUACAAGGUAGGAAAAGAGGUAAGAGGUUUUAUGUGAAUUGUGGAAAGAUGGAUGGAGUUUCACAAAAAAGCAUCAAAAAAUUGGAGAGGAAGACAAAAAAGAAAAAGAAUUAAAGAGAAGGAAACACUCCUCACACAGGUGUUGUGGGAGACACCUGAUGAGAGGUGACUGGAUCACGGGGCCAGUUUCCCCCAUGCUGUUCUCAGGAUACUGCGUGAGUUCUCAUGAGAUCAGAUGGAUUUUUAAGGAGCUCUUCCCCCUUUGCUUCCUUCACACACUCUCUCCUCUGCCUUUUGAAGAAGGUCCUUGUUUCCCCUUCACCUUGCACCAUGAUUGGAAGUUUCCUGAGGCCUCCCCAGCUAUGUGGAACUUCUCCUGCUGGUGCUCCCAUUUGCUGAACUCAACUGGAAGCCAGAGGAUUCUCCAGCUUGUUGGUGCAGUCCAUGGAUAUUAGCCUCACAGGGCACACUGUGAGGGCACAAAGGAUGGAAAAGAAUAAAGAGUGGCCUAGAGGGUCAAACAGAAAAAGACUCUAGUACAGAACCCAUGAAAAAUUUACUGCAGAUGAAAGGGAAGAAAACUUCACGCUAAAGCAAAAAAGAAGUACAGACUUCUGAAAAAUAUUUACUAUAGGAACUAGAAGAGCAUUUUAAAAUAAGCUUGGUAUUCUCAGUAGGAUAAAAAAAAGAGCAAAUCUCUAUGAAACAGAAAGCUUAUAAGGAGAAAAAAAUAUUCAGAGGUAGGUAAAGCUAGGUGAAAUAAUGACUCUUUUUUAAAAAAUUAAAGAUAUAGAAGCAAAAGCAAUAACCAGAAAAACUGACAUGUUUGAAACUCAAAUAAGUUCUAGUCAAUAUGGCAAAUUAGCCAAUGUAGAAGAUCUUUCCUCCCACUUCAAAUGUAGAAAUGAUCCAUGAACAUUUUACUAAUAAAAUACAACAGUUAAAAUUUAAAUUCAAAGCCAAGCUUAAAACUAAAAAUGAGAUAUCCCUGGUACUAGAAAAUAAGAGAAAACUUAAAGCACUAUUGAGUGAGAAUGAAAACAAAUGUCUUAUAGAACAUCCUAAUUUGAUAUAUCUCUAAAUGCCUGGAUUUUUGACAACUUCAGUGAGAUGCUUAGGGUGUCUAUAGGCCUGGUGCAUAGGAGAUGAAAGUUUUAUACAUAAAGAGAAGAGAUUUAUACAUAAAGAGAAGAAUCUGCCAGAGUUAUCCUGUCCAAUUAAGAAAAUGUGCACAUAUACACCAUGGAAUACUAUGCAGCCAU